rnacentral:tRNA from 1 species
AUUUAAAUAGUUUAUAAAAAUAUUGAUUUGUGGAAUCAAAGAUAUAACAAUUAGUUAUUUUAAAUA